ACCUUUUUACUACUGAAAGCCGUCCGCAAAACGGACAAAGUCGCCUUUAAAUGGAAUGAAACAUGUGUUGUAUCUCGAAAAAACUAUGGAUAGCAGUUUGAAAUAAACGGUCUAAGUAUGAAUUAGUAAAAUCGAUUUCCAAAAAAAAGAGAUUUCUCCUAAUAAUUAGUAGAUUC
ensembl:ncRNA Y40C5A.17 ncRNA